GUUCCCGGGGCCGAGCCGGCGGCGGCCUUCGGGCUUCUGCCCCAUGGAAAGUCAGAUCCUCUGGGCACUGUGAGGAAAGAAGAAAGAAGAAACUCUGUUUUCAUUCUCUGAAUCCUCUGUGAGGAAAGCCCAUCUCAGCGUUGCUUAUGUGCCCUGAAGACACAGCAUGUGCCUCCUCAAUUUUAAGACUACUCAUCAACAGACUCAGAAACAAACUAUUGAGGAAAGUCAACAGGAGUUGGUGCUUGUCUGUGCAGCCUCAUUCGAGUCGAGUUAAAUCAAAUCAACUAAAG